rnacentral:antisense_RNA from 1 species
UUUUGCAUCCGGCUUUUUGUCUAAGAUACCGUUGCCUACCGCAUGUAGGAGGUGUGUUUUACCAAGACCCGUACCGCCAUA